rnacentral:tRNA from 1 species
GCCCCGGUAGUCGAAUUGGUACCAUGCUCGCAUUGCCAGUGAGAGGAUCGUGGGUUCGAUUCCCACCAGAGGUC